GUAGGUUUGUGUCGUUUGUCACAGUCUGUGGGGCGGCAGCUUGCCAGGUAUCCAGGGGGUUAAUGUGGUGGUUUUGGCGUGACAAUGACUCUAAUAAAUAAAAUUGGCUGUGGCCUUUUCUCAUC